rnacentral:rRNA from 1 species
CCCGGGAUAGCCCAGGGAAACCUGGAUUAAUACCGGAUGAGCGGGACCCGCGAAGGCGGGACCCGGGAAAGGCGCUGCGGCGCCGGCGGGGGAUGAGUCUGCGUCCCAUUAGCUAGACGGCGGGGUAACGGCCCACCGUGGCGACGAUGGGUAGCCGGCCUGAGAGGGUGGACGGCCACAUUGGAACUGAGACACGGUCCAGACUCCUACGGGAGGCAGCAGCUAAGAAUCUUCCGCAAUGGGCGAAAGCCUGACGGAGCGACGCCGCGUGAACGAAGAAGGCCGUGAGGUUGUAAAGUUCUUUUCGGGAGGGGGAACAACCGUGGCAGGGAAUGGCCGCGGGAUGACGUGAAUCCCGGAAUAAGCCCCGGCUAACUACGUGCCAGCAGCAGC